CUACGGGCGGCAGCAGUGAGGAAUUUUGCGCAAUGGGGGAAACCCUGACGCAGCAACGCCGCGUGAGUGAAGAAGGCUUUCGGGUCGUAAAGCUCUGUCAGAUAGGAAAAAAGUUCAUAUGUAAAUAGCUUAUGAAUCUGAUGGUACUAUCAGAGGAAGCACCGGCUAACUCCGUGCCAGCAGCCGCGGUAAUACGGAGGGUGCAAGCGUUGUUCGGAAUUACUGGGCGUAAAGGGCGUGUAGGCGGUAUGGUAAGUCAGAUGUGAAAGCCCUGGGCUUAACUCAGGAAGUGCAUUUGAUACUGCCAUCCUUGAGUAUGGGAGAGGAGAGUAGAAUUCCCAGUGUAGAGGUGAAAUUCGUAGAUAUUGGGAGGAAUACCCGUGGCGAAGGCGACUCUCUGGACCAAUACUGGCGCUGAGACGCGAAAGCGUGGGGAGCAAACAGGAUUAGAUACCCGUGUAGUC
rnacentral:rRNA from 1 species